GGGUACCUGCGUCGAGCUCUGCACAGGUGACUGGGACUGCAAUCCCGGAGAGCACUGUGUCAGCAACUGGGUGUGGUCAUGAGUGUGUUGCAGAGUAAGCACAGAUGAAGAGUUAUCUUAAGGAUCAUCUUUCUCUAAGAUAAGCAUCCCUUCCUGGAGUUCCUAUCUUCCAAGAUGUGACUGUCUGGAGUUUCUUGACUAGGACGAUGGAUGAAAAUGGCGAGCCUGUGGAUAGGGACUACAGGGCAUAUGGGAGGCAGGGAAGAGGGGUUGUUUCUUUUAAUAAAUCCUCAUUGUUAAAAGCA